AAUGUCUUCAGGUUCAAUGCAUUACGUGUUGUGCUCUUUUUUUUAAUUUUAUAAUAUUUGUCCCUUCCACCUUUUUAGUUAAAUUCAAAAAUUGGUGCAGGUGUGGCCGGUGACGGCUGCCCCUUGCUCUUCUUCAGUUUGUGCACUUCAUCAUUUUGUGCCCUGGUGCUGCUACAGUGAAAAAUUGUUUGCUCACACUCUCUGUGUGUGUGUGUCAGCCUAAAUGUCAGGAGAGUCGACAGAGAUGGUUUGAUAAAUCCUCAGCGGCUGCAGCCAUUCUUCAUCACCAUGUGUUGCUGUGUGUCAGCCGGCCUUUAUUUUAUUAUUAUUAUUUUUUUUUUUUUUUUUAAUUGAAGAUCAACCUCAGUGCAACACAAAAUCCCACAAAGUUCAUGGUGUGUUUUUGUAUAUAUAUAUAUAUAUAUGUGUGUGUGUGUGUGUGUGUGUUACAUUUUAAAGGGAAAAGAGGAUGAAGACCUUCUUUUGUGGUCACACGUGAUGCAGUUUUGUCAACUUUUGGACUUUGCACUUGAUUUUGCUUCUUUAUUUUAAGUAGGUAAUAUUUUUCAACCACUUUUGUUGAUUCAUUGCUUGUUUUUUUGCCAAUUUGCACAAAAAGCAAUAAGUCAGUUUUUAUAACGUGUGCUGUGUAAUAUCCUGGGAUCUUCCCCAGAAUACAAAUGCAAAUUUUAGAGUUUAUCUACUUAUUGCAUUUACAUAUUGUUAGGCAUUUAUGCUGAAUGCCCCCAGAGUCCCAGUGGAAGUGUAGAACUCGGAAUCAUGAUCUCAUUUACGUAACUCACCCAGUUAACACCUGUUCCAAUAAUAUGAUGGUAGGAGGUGAUUAGUGCCGUAAUGACCAACAGACAGAAGAACUCCUUUGUCCCUCAGGCCAUCAGACUGUCCAACUCCUCACUCAGGUGGAGGAGGAGUAACAGGAAGACAGAGAACGGGAAGGAGAGGAACAGUAGUAACUAGUAAACCACUACUGAUCAGUAUGUCCGGUAUUUAUAUUUGCGUAUAUAUAUUUAUAUUUGGAAACUGUUAUUUUUUAACUUUCAUUUUUGAUACUCUGUGUGCUUCUUGCCCUGUGUGCUGCUGGAACGUCAAUUUUCCUAGUCUUCCCAAGGCAUCAAUAAAGUUGUAUCUAAUUUAAUCUAAUCUAAUGAGCCAACAGCAAAGACUAAUGCAGGAUUGUCAAGGCACCUCCCUUAAUCAGAGCAUAGUGACAUAAUAUCUAUAGCAAACACAGACGCCACAACAAAUAAAAAGCACUGCUGACCUCACAUCAUGACACAGACACACACUGCUAUGUAUGUACACGUAACCUGCACCACUUCGUACCACUCUGGCCUCAAACUCUCAAUUCCCAGGAUGGGAGGCAGGUGCUUCAACCACGAGGUUAAAACCCGUGGGGUUCAAGCAUCUGUUUGCAAGAGCAUCUUUGGGCUUUGGGGAGUAAGGUUUAUUUAACGUCUUCUGCACAGCACCACCUGCUGGCAUCUGUUAAAUACACAUAAUUCCACUGGGUGCAGAGUUGUAGUAGUCAGGUUUAGACACUCAGAGUAAAAGCGAUUGAGCAAUGUAUUAUUAUUUUUAUUUUAUUUUUUUUUCAAAAAUGCAUUCAGUAUGAAAGUCUAAAAUGUUUUCAAAAGUGGACCUUGACUCAAACUGGGGGGGUGGUCCUUUCAAGCCCUUGUUUCUCUGGCUAAGCCCCUGUACUGGAAAACGGUUGCAACAAUGAGGAAAAAACAAAAUUUUUUGUGGAAAUGGUGACCUGAUUGGCCAGUACUAAAGUUAAUAUCAAAUGCAUCAUCCAUCAGAAGUAGAUCUGGUGCGUACUUUAACCGAAGCAGAGUGAAAUAUAUAUUGUUAAAUGGCCACCGUGGGAGUGUCAUUGGAAGCUGACUGACAUAACGCUGUCUGUUACCGCUCCAUGCUUAUAAAACAGAGCGGGACUGUUGAUGAUCUGUGUGAGUAAAAUAGGCUUUAAGGGGUUUUUAUAAUGUGCUUUCCAUAGUGAAGCCACUGCAGCAGCCAUUGGAUAGGAGACUGACUACAUGUGUUAUUGUUAUUGAUGACUGACCAAUCCAAUACAAACAGAUUCACCUGGAAUCACCACAUGUGCAGUGUGUUGUGUCUGUGUGGGAUUCUUUCAGCACCAACAUUUGUCCUCCUUUUGUUCAUCAUAAAGGAGAAGCUUUAAAAUUGGCAUGUCUUCCAUGUGGACAGCGGGUCCCACCCACCUGAGCUGAUAUUGGUUGAUGACAUUCUGAACCCUCUUUGGAUUUUAGAUACAUUGGUUGUCUUUAAAUGGUCCUAGAUUCACUGCCAUAAAGCGAUUUGCUCGCACAGCAGCUUGAUAAAAAGUUGAGACUGAUGCUGCCAUGUCUCAACAGCCAGUGCAGCACUCACCUUUCCUUAAUCUAGCUGAGAUAUAUCAUCAUUCAUCAAAGUGUUUUGUGACACUAUGAAACCUUGGUAGCAAAAUGUAUCAUCCGCUUUCAAACUGUCCCUUUGACAGUCCCAGUGGGUGUGGUAUGGGUGGCGGCCAGUCUUGCCUGCAGCAUGACGUCCGUCUUUUUAAGGUUGAUAGCUUAGCCAAAGCUGUUACAGAUCUGUCUGUGAUACUUUGAAUGUCUGCCUCUGUGCGGGCGAUGAGAACACGGUCAUCAGCAAACAGCAGUUAGUUUGGAGACCCGUGUUGCAUCUUGUAAUCGAUGGAAGUUGAAUAGGUUUCCUAUUCGGAAGCAGAUGAAGACACCCCGAGUCCAGUCAUGGAAAGUGUCAUAGAGCAUCAUCGAAAAGACUGCAUGCCCGUUUUGGACUUCUGUGACAUACGUCGCAUGAAACACUUCUAGUAGUCCAGUUUGUGCAAUGUGCACACACAAGCAAGCAGCAGCUCUUCUCCAUUUAAAGUCACAGACCCACAAACAGCUUAUUAUUUCAGCUAAUUCAAUACAGUUUUUGAAAAUUUGUUCAAAGUUUGGAAAUACUAUCUUCAAAUCUUCACACACAGGGUUGAAUCCAUGAUAUAUUUUAAUUUAUUUUUGUUUUAAUGUUGCAUGAUGUGGGUCAUUUUGACCCUUGAGGAGCACACUCUAAUGAACCCUUCUGGUUGGACAUUUAGUGGCUGUGUUCUGAGAGGACGGAUGGAUGCAAAACAGGCGCUGCUAUUGCAUUAGAUCUUAGGAUAUCUUGAUCAACAAGAUUUUAAACUCCAGCUGACGUUAUAAUGGCUGCAGCAGGCUAUAAGUCCCCUCAGCAUCUCAGCAAAACACUUUUGUGAAUGUUAAAUAAGGUGCAUCAGGGAAAUAACAGAACAGUGUGAUUGGCUGCAGCGUUGAUCGUGUGAGGUGUGUGAAGAAAGGAUUUAAAGGUUGUUCUGUGCAAACUGCAGUCAGACCGACCACUCAAUCAGGUUUUGUUUGACACCAUUAAGCCCAGUUAAUUUCUUGAUAAUUAAUUCCACUCCUUCACUUCCUGUGGAUGACGGAGACUCUGGAUUAUGUUUCAUGUGCAAGAUGAGCACUUUACUGGAUCUGUCUUCUGUGUUUCAUUUCAUUACUGUCUGUCAAGCUGAUCAGCCGAGACAAUAAAAGCACAAUUCCACUGUGA